rnacentral:rRNA from 1 species
UACAGAGGUCCCAAGCGUUGUUCGGAUUCACUGGGCGUAAAGGGCGCGUAGGCGGCCGCUCAAGUCGGGGGUGAAAGCCUGUGGCUUAACCACAGAAUUGCCUUCGAUACUGUUUGGCUUGAGACCGGAAGAGGUGAGUGGAACUGCGAGUGUAGAGGUGAAAUUCGUAGAUAUUCGCAAGAACACCAGUGGCGAAGGCGGCUCACUGGUCCGGUUCUGACGCUGAGGCGCGAAAGCGUGGGGAGCAAACAGG